rnacentral:rRNA from 1 species
AUUGAACGCUGGCGGCAGGCCUAACACAUGCAAGUCGAGCGGAGCGGCGGACGGGUGAGUAAUGCCUAGGAAUCUGCCUGGUAGUGGGGGAUAACGUCCGGAAACGGGCGCUAAUACCGCAUACUAUCAGAUGAGCCUAGGUCGGAUUAGCUAGUUGGUGGGGUAAAGGCCUACCAAGGCGACGAUCCGUAACUGGUCUGAGAGGAUGAUCAGUCAACCUGGGAAUGGGAAACGGUCCAAACCCCUAACGGAGGUAGGAGUGGGGAAUAUUGGGAAAAGGGCGAAAACCUGAUCCAGCCAUGCCGCGUGUGUGAAGAAGGUCUUCGGAUUGUAAAGCACUUUAAGUUGGGAGGCGUUACCAACAGAAUAAGCACCGGCUAACUUCGUGCCAGCAGCCGCGGUAAUUC